rnacentral:rRNA from 1 species
AGUGAACGCUGGCGGUAGGCCUAACACAUGCAAGUCGAACGGCAGCACAGUAAGAGCUUGCUCUUACGGGUGGCGAGUGGCGGACGGGUGAGGAAUACAUCGGAAUCUACUUUUUCGUGGGGGAUAACGUAGGGAAACUUACGCUAAUACCGCAUACGACCUACGGGUGAAGGCAGGGGAUCUUCGGACCUUGCGCGAUUGAAUGAGCCGAUGUCGGAUUAGCUAGUUGGCGGGGUAAAGGCCCACCAAGGCGACGAUCCGUAGCUGGUCUGAGAGGAUGAUCAGCCACACUGGAACUGAGACACGGUCCAGACUCCUACGGGAGGCAGCAGUGGGGAAUAUUGGACAAUGGGCGCAAGCCUGAUCCAGCUAUACCGCGUGGGUGAAGAAGGCCUUCGGGUUGUAAAGCCCUUUUGUUGGGAAAGAAAAGCAGCAGGUUAAUACCCCGCUGUUCUGACGGUACCCAAAGAAUAAGCACCGGCUAACUUCGUG